rnacentral:lncRNA from 12 species
CUUCUCACAUGGAAUUACUGGAAAAAGAGGAACAGGAAUUCAGAUUCCAGAUCCGAGAUGAUAAACCUAAGAAAAGAAAAAAAAAACACAUUGAAAAUUCCUCAACUCAAUAACUAUAAUUACUGGUCUAAAUUCAACUUUUUAAAUUUAUAGACUCAGCGGCUUUUGUUGAUUUUGGAGGGGGGGAGAGCACAAAUGUUUAAACCACUAGAACAACUUGCAUUCUCUUCAUUCCAGACGACCUCAUGUUAGCGAAAGAGAAUAAGAAAGCCCCGAAAUGUGUGUGGAAACCUGGGGAAAGACAGCGAAGUGAGAGACCCGUGAAGUGAGUGGCCUGCUUCCUGAUGCCUGAGAUCACAGAAGAACUGAAAAUGUGAAACCUGGGGCAAGUAAAGGAAGACGAUUGUCAUGUGGUUCAGUGCUCUGCAAACAUCACGCCACUGGGCUAUGCACAUCUAAGAGAGUAUUGCCAGAUCCUGUGUGCCAAGAAGGAGAGCCUUGUUAGCAAUUACUAUAAGAAAAAGAUAGUACUGUGGGAGAAGUGGUUGCCAUGGAAACUGGCCAAGGAUAAACAGUCUCUUCUAGGGCGAUGUGAGGCAAGGAGACAGGAGCAGACCACAGCUCUCAGGAGUGGGAAGAUAGCUGGGGAGUCACGUUGUUCUCUGAGCUCCAUCUGCCUGGCUCUUUGGAACUUACAGGAGCAUUGUAUUGUCUACUCAAGUGACCCUGGAGGUAAGAAGGGAGGGUGUUAUGACAUCCUCGGGGGCGCCCGACACAAGGGAAAGCAGACCGCUGGAUCCGUAGACACUGGAGAGUUUCAAAGAAAUACACUUUUCAUUGACCUUCUGAAGAUUUGCCCUGGGCUGGAAGCAAAGCAACCUGGGCUGUUAGCUCAAACAUGUUACAAGCUGCCUGACUAGUUGAGGAGCAUCAGAAAGUGGCGGGUUAAAUUCGCCAGCUCUGUUUUUGCCGGUCACAUAGUGGUUAAAUGCAUGAACUUUGGGCCACCCUUCCUUGGUUCAAAUCCUAGUUCUUACCUGUUAGCAGAUAUAUAAUUUUAGGCAAGUCCUUGAACUCCUGUAGUCUUCAGUAUUCUUGUUUGCAGGGGAUGAUAAUGGUAAUAAUGCUGCUGCUGACAAACCUUUCCAAACAUAUAUUUUUUAUAAAAUGUAAAAAUGUCUACCACUUAGUGCAGUGUCUGGCAUGUUUGUAUAGGCUCAUUAAAUGCUGAUCACUGUAAUUGCUUAUAAAUAAAGUGUUUUUUGGCAAGAGAUACGAUAUUAUG